CACACAGGAGCCCAGAGGGAAGGGGUCCAGGCUCUUGGAGAUGAAGCUUAGAUCCCAGUCAGGGAGAUGAGCCCCCCCAUUGUUGGGGACUCUCGGGGCCCCCGACCUCUCCCGAAAGAAAACUUGGGGUUAAAUCUGCAACUGUCAGUGCAUCUGGAAACAAAAUAGAAGGAAACCACACUCUCCAUGAAUGAAGGAAGAAGCAGGAAGAAGACGGACAAGAGAGACUCAUCACCAGCCCUGUAGCUGAGAGAAGAUUUUGUAUGUUAGUGAAAGUCAAGGAUCGGAGAUUCAGAUAAAGCGCUAACAUGAACUUCAUGGAGUCAAGGGCCUGUUUGUUUACUAAG